UGGUUCUGGCAUCGAUGAAGAACGCAGCGAAAUGCGAUAAGUAAUGCGAAUUGCAGAAUCCGUGAGUCAUCGAAUCUUUGAACGCACAUUGCGCCCUUUGGCAUUCCGAAGGGCAUGCCUGUUCGAGCGUCAUUAUCACCCCUCAAGCCCCGUGCUUGGUGUUGGACGGCUUGGUCGCGGUGUGCACCGCGACCCCUCCCAAAGACAAUGACGGCGGCCCGUGGCUCCCCCGGCACACUGAGCUUCUCACCGAGCACGUGUCGGAUCGCGGGCGUCCAGGUCCCGGUCGGCUCCCCCACCACAGGGAAUUUUUAUCAAGGUUGACCUCGGAUCAGGUAGGAAUACGCGCUGA
rnacentral:misc_RNA from 1 species